rnacentral:rRNA from 1 species
GUAGGGAAUCUUCCGCAAUGGACGAAAGUCUGACGGAGCAACGCCGCGUGAGUGAUGAAGGCUUUCGGGUCGUAAAACUCUGUUGUUAGGGAAGAACAAGUACGAGAGUAACUGCUCGUACCUUGACGGUACCUAACCAGAAAGCCACGGCUAACUACGUGCCAGCAGCCGCGGUAAUACGUAGGUGGCAAGCGUUAUCCGGAAUUAUUGGGCGUAAAGCGCGCGCAGGCGGUUUCUUAAGUCUGAUGUGAAAGCCCACGGCUCAACCGUGGAGGGUCAUUGGAAACUGGGGAACUUGAGUGCAGAAGAGAAAAGCGGAAUUCCACGUGUAGCGGUGAAAUGCGUAGAGAUGUGGAGGAACACCAGUGGCGAAGGCGGCUUUUUGGUCUGUAACUGACGCUGAGGCGCGAAAGCGUGGGGAGCAAACAGGAUUAGAUACCCUGGUAGUCCACGCCGUAAACGAUGAGUGCUAAGUGUUAGAGGGUUUCCGCCCUUUAGUGCUGCAGCUAACGCAUUAAGCACUCCGCCUGGGGAGUACGGUCGCAAGACUGAAACUCAAAGGAAUUGACGGAAGC